GCGCGAGUAGCUCAAUUGGAUAGAGUGUCGGCCUCCGGAGCCGAAGGUUGUGGGUUCAAAUCCCACCUCGCGUACCA
rnacentral:tRNA from 1 species